rnacentral:lncRNA from 1 species
UUUCGGCUGUUUUUGCUUCUAAAAUUAGCUCAGCUAUUUCCUGCACGAAGGCUCAGGAGAGCAGCAGACUCAUAGCAAGGGGCUGCAGCACAGAGCACACAGCAAAGCCCUCUCCAUGGGGCUGCACAGGGAAAGAGGAAACUGCCCACCGCCUUGCAAGGAGCAGGCAGAAAUGGGCAUGCAGGAUUAAACGUUGCUUAUGAACUCCAUCCACCGCAACUCCAGAGCUCCUGUUAUUUUCACACAGCCUUGCUCCUCUUUGGCUCGCUGCUGAGCAGCCAGCAUCUCACAUCUGGCAAUAACAAAACCUGCAUGCCCCGGGUGCAGUGCCACAGCCACCAAAAGGUGAAAGCCACGAUUCCUAAACAUGGUUCCCACCUCAUUUUUCAGGAGUUGUUGGUUUCAGCUGAUGCACUCCUACAAAAAUCCAUAGGAACAAGGAACUGACAAACCAUGACCUGCUGCGGGCUGCUCUGAAAGGUCUGCUUAGGAACCGACAUUUUCAAGUGAGGUGCGGCAUCUGCAGAGAAGUGGUUAGAAAAACAAGAAGGACACUGGCUGCUCUCAAAAGGCCUCCUCUCCAGCAGUACUUUUAAAGGAGAGAAAGUAAUUGAGUUGUACCAGAACGAGCUAAUAAAUAAUGCUAUGCCUCCAAUGUCUGCGAUGGCAUUUUGUGAGGAUAAUGCCAGAGGAGCUGUGCUAAGGUACGUCUCAUAAAGAUAAGCAAAGGGUUGCUUUACUGAACACAUGCUGUAAAAAGGAAGAAGAUGCUCACUAAAUGAACAAAGGCAGCUUUAAAACAAGCCUGGGUUUCUGGGGAAACUAAAACUGUUUGCUCUAUAAAUCCAGAGCAUCUCUUUGGGGCAGGAGAACUCGGCAGCACGGUGAGCAGCACCGUCAGGUGUUCAGAUGGGGGCUGGGAGGAAGGAAGCAGGCAGAAGAGAUCACUCACCCUUCUGUUUGUUUCCUGCUUCCUGACACCUUUAAACCGCUGUUAUCAAAAGACUGAGUAUUUGCUUCCAGGAUUUUCUUUUGUUAAGAUCAAAAUUAAGAACUGAAAAAAAGAGAAGGGAGGAUCUCUCUGCAGUUGCUGUUAAUGUCUCUGUAUAGCUGAACUACAGUUUAUGUAAGCGAGCAUUGACAUGCAGGCAGGCCGAUAACUGAUUAAAAGUCACUCACCUACAUCUGCACAUGGGAAUAUUUAGCUCAUACGAAUGCUGAUCUGCUUCUGCUCUUCUAAUGUCUGAAUUUAUUGACCCCAAAUGAUAUGGGAGACAAAAGUUAACAAAUCCUAAAACUUUUUACCUUCAAUAGCCUGCAUUAGAUUUGAUUUCAGCAGUUACAAAAAUAUACAGGAACUGGUGCUGCUGCAGACUGAUUCCUAUCACCAAUGGCAGGCACUCAGACUACUGGGGCCACCCGAGAGUCUUCCAACCGUUAAUUUUUUGCAGUACACAAAAUCUAUUUUUUAAAAUCAUAGAAUCAUUAAGGAAAAGACCUCUAAGAUCAUCCAACCGACCACCUACCACCAAUAUUUCCCCACUAACAACAUUCUUUAAUACACAUCUUCUCUGUUCUUGGACACCACCAGGGAGAGUGACUCCAUCACCUCCCUGUGCCAAUGCCCAA